GAGUGAUGCCCUCCGGUGGAGUGUGGGUUGGCACUAGUGACUCUUAUCUCACCAAUAUCAUACAGAGAAGGUGCUGGGAUAUUAUGUUUGAGAGUGCAUUGCAGAAGACUAUCUAGUGUUGGGGUUAGGAAACAGUGGUCUACAGCUGUUUGUUCAAGAGUCCAUGCUGUUCACUAAGUGUCAGACCUGUGUAAAGCACUCUAGAUAAUCCUUUAUCUCACUGAAUCCUAAGAGCAA
rnacentral:lncRNA from 1 species